GGGGCCGUAGCUCAGCUGGGAGAGCGUCGCGUUCGCAACGCGAAGGUCGGGGGUUCGACUCCCCUCGGCUCCA
rfam:Deltaproteobacteria bacterium RIFCSPHIGHO2_02_FTLL_60_17 rifcsphigho2_02_scaffold_31093, whole genome shotgun sequence.